ACAUUAAUGUGCCAGUUCAACAACAUAGAUUUGGUUUAUUAACACAAUUACAGCUUUAAAUAUGUCUCAGGUCAGGUAUAAUCCUUAUUUUAAGAUGGGGGAUGUCUAGUACUCUCUGAUCUGUUUUGUUGGACUAGAUGGUGAUAUCCCUAGUAGCAUACUGAAGCCAAGCUGUGGGACGGUCGAGUGAGAGAUGGCAUCCUCCAGGUUAUCAAGUGGGCGCCCUCUUUCAUUGAUGUUUCGCAGAUAAAGCCACGACACCUCCAGAGAGUUCAGGGGUGAAUUCUGGCGUCCCAGGCUCACCCCCUAGAUGCCAUCGACUCACUUGAGGGCCCAGGUGACGUCCUUUCUUUACAUCCACAGCCACUGACUCCCCUUUUCUGUAGCCCUGGAGAGGCCUUGGACUGCCUUCCUAUGGGCCUUUCCUUGCACUCCCAUCUCUCCAGAUGAGACUAGAAACCCCUGCUGCCUACUUCCACCGGUGGGACCUUUGCUGUCCAGCCUCGAUCUUGCGCAUCGGCUGCCAGCUCAGCGUACUUCAGCUUUUUUCGCUCGAAGGCCUCCUCUGCUGCAUCCUCCCAGGGCACUGUGACUUUGAUGAUGUAGAUGAACUGGAGUGAGGCCGACCAUAGUACGAGGUCUGGUCUGACAUUGGUUGACGCAGUCUCAGCUAGGAAGCAGAGCCUCUGGUCUGCCAACAGCUUCCAGUCCUGUGCCCCACCUAGCUGUCCAGCGCCUGGUCUUGAAGUGGAGAGUCAGGCUUGGCCCUCACCUUCCUGGACAAAUGUCAGUCAGUGCUGGCCGUUGGGAUGAGGAAGGAGGGAGGGCGUUCACACUUGCCUGCUUGCCAGCACUGUUGCAAGACACUGCAACACCUGGUUGUGCUGCCAGGUGUAACAACCUUGACUAUCACUCCAUUAGUGCACGGUUGAUUAGUUGAUAUUCUGAAUUGCGGUUGCGUCAUCAAAUCAUCUGCACUGUGUUCCCCUCCCUCCACUCAACACUCUUCAAAGUGUGUUAAGUGUCGGGCGUGAACAGCCGUAAAACACCUGUCCUCUUUGAAAUCUCACAGUUUGACACAGCCGACUUCUCCACCUGCUAUCAGAGCUGCCAGGUCUCAUUAAAACCUCCACGUAUCUGUUUAAAACCUGAUCUGCCUGCUAAUUAUUACCUACGCGUUGCUGUUCACUUCGUAUCCUCUGAUCACAGGGAUUAUAUUUUACUAUUAGGAGUGAUUCAAUUCUCUGAACGUCUUUACAGGCAAUGAGCUUUAUUACAGUUACAGUUGCAUAUAUUUGCAUUAUAAAACCCUUAAUCCCUGCGCAUUUGGCCAGGAGUGCAUGGUAUAUAAUCCCCUCUCUGGGCAUGCUCUUAGACGCUUAUGGAGGUAUUUGGGGGAAAAUUAAGUGGACAAAUUUCCAUAUUUCAUACAGGAUGUGUGCCUCCUGUCCACCAUGGUGAUUGGUGCACAUGAGCCCACACACAACUACUUGUAAUGAUACAGGACUUCAUUUUAGUACCCUACAUAUUUUAAAAUACAGUACGAACCUAUUUAAAUACGAGACAGCACACAGGCAGCACCUGCAUUAGUUGUGAUGAAAAGUCUCCCACACUUGGUUAAUUAUGGUUUGUCAGGUUAAUUCAGACAAAAGCACGUACCUUGUUUAUCACAUCAUUAUCUUUACAUGCCCUUCGAACACAUCAGUGAUCAUAUAUUACCUUUUCCACUUUUCCUACAGUGUUUAAUCUAUCCUCUGAAUAAUAUGUAGCAGUCGCAGGAUGAGACAAAAGCCACCAGGCUGGACGCGCUCCGUUAAAGGCCUCUGCACCCAAGGGUGAUAUCGCAGGCGGUCACACCUGUCACUCGAUGAUUUAUUAUGCAAGAUGUGGGGAAUGUGGGCUUACUAUAUUCAGAUGAUAGUGGAGUAAAAUAUACAACAAGAUGUAAGAAAGGCACAAUGGAAAAUAGUCAUAAACUCCUGAAACUGCAGUCCAGUGAAAUGUUUCAUGAAAUUCAUAAAUUGUUCUCUUGGCUGCAAUUUUCUCACUGUGACAGUUUGGUGUUUAGGUUACAGUUUUCGGGGGUCAGUUUAAUGGGCAUCUUGCUGUUUGAGAUACUGUUUAGGUGAGGAGUGACAGUCAGAGUAAACCCUUUGAAAUUCAGCACAGCACUGAAACGCAUAACUGCUUCGAAAAAAAAAAAUCAAUGUAUUUUAGGGUCAGUUAUUAAAAACUGGUAAAGCUGUGUAAUCAACUUAUUUGUUUUCAUCAACAAAUCCAAAAAAAACAAAAUUUUGACAAGCACCACACAUGUGAUGUUUAAUUGUCACAGGCAGCUGCAAGGCAGAAAGGUUUCCAAAUUGUUUGAGUUGUGUGAGUGGAGCUGCUGUCCGCUGAUGCAAAUCAAUCCUUCUUCCAAACACCGGCACUGGUGAAGGGUACCUAUGGUGCAGAUAUGUCUAGUUGAGGUUAAUUGGGUCCUUUAACAGCUGGAGGCUGUAACUGGGGCUCACUGUAUCGGUUCCUUCAGCCAACCUUUUAUUCAGCUGCUGCCUUAGAGACAACUGAACAAAUGGACAAAUGGUAUCUUUGAAGUUGUAGGCAUGGAAAUGCUAUAGAAUUACGGUUGCAGAAAAAUUCCAUUCCAUGGUUUUACAUCACUGUAACCUAGAGACCUUUAAAAAAGGAAUUCAAAGAUUUUCUUCACUUGACCUCAAGGCAAAGAUUGUUCAUUUUGUUUGCUCCCUCUAGAGCUGUAACAGGCAGAUGUUGUUACCUCAUUAUAUGGAAAGUAUCAAUUCUCAUUUACUGACUUUCCUGUUGUCAGAAUUUCCCACCUUGUCAAACCAGAGAAAACAAUUCUCCCUCAGACUGUAUGCAACCCUCUGUGCCUAUACAUGAAUACUAACAAGACCAGCUUUCACAAAUAACCUAACAGGACCAGAUACGACUGCAUCAUAUUAUCUGUUUCAGUAUUCUGCAUGGAAAAUGGGAUGACAGUUCGUACUUGGCAACACUUCUCGAGAGUCGAUGUAGUCAACUAUAGUUUUUCCAUGCCAACGCUGGGAAAUUGGAGACGUACAGACAGUGAGGAUACCUUCCCUGUCUGUAUGAGACAAGAACGGACAUGACAAGAUAUUUGACGCUCAGGGGAAUGAGACCAUGCAGACCAUCAUGACUCCUGAUCCUUCAUCGAGAGUCCAGGUGUAGCGUGUCUAAAGGGUAAAGGUGCUAGACCUACAGGAAUUCUCAAUGCAGCAGUGGCACCACAAGCUGUCUGUCUUACACUGAUCCCUCUUACUAUCAUUGCUUUUGGUGAUGUCGCUCUUGGGUUAGUACCAUACCAGUACUUGUGACGGAGUGACUGGAUCCUGCGGGUCCUGGUGCCCACUCUGGGCAACAUCGACUGUGGUCUAUUGCCACAGUCGAUGUAGAAAGUAACAAAGCAGAACUGGCUGUCACGUCUCCUGCCUCGCACUGUGGUCUCGGUGCUGUAGGUCAACACAAUUGUGUCUGUUUCUGCUGCUCCACAACCAAAAUUGUCCUCCUUAAUGGCCGUGUGCAUCUCAUCACUGUGUAAGCCAUAGGUUGCUGAGUAUCUUUGAACACACGCCACCAGUCCCAGCUAUAGUGCUGAUGUGGCAGCGAACAGUAUAAAGCAAUUAGAGCUAUUUGAAAGCGAUUUCCUGACGUUGGUUGAGACGCUCAAGAAAACUCUGCAACAGCUUCAUGCUGGCUGAAGGGCUUCUUUAAUAGCAGUCAUGCUGACAAUUUGAAUGUAUCUUUUAGUCGAUCCUAAUGUCUGAGAAGAGAUGGCAUCCAUUUUUUAUAAGUCUCAUUCAAAGCUGUUAUCUUUUAUCAUGUGUGAAAUGGUAGAAUCACUGAAAUGGGAGAUCAAUCAUGGCCGAUGCCUCCAGGUGAGCUUGGAUCUCUUUUCCUUUUUCGCCUUAGUCUUGUUUAACCCAGAUGCUUUCAAAUCCAGACACACCCUGGAGCUGAUGCAUUUAAAUGUCAGUCGUCUGUGUAAUCAAUUUAAAAUUAGAACACCUGAGAAUUCUCGUUUCAAGGACUGACGCAAAUAUCCUGGUUCUGACAGAAACCUGGAGUAAACAGAGUCUAGACAGCGUUGGACGAGGAGAUGGUGUGGAUGUGUUUAUGAAGACAUGUUUAUCUGUCACUGUUUUAAAUGCUGUCACUGUACCUAAGGCUUAAGUUAACUCAAUAAUCCAAUUAUAGUGGUGGCUGUCAAUCUUCCUCAGCUGUCUUCAGUGCAAUUAAUAAAUUAGGGCACUUAUUUGCUUCGUGUAGAAACCCAGAGGUACUAGAUAUAUAGAUAGGUAUGUAGGUAGGUAGGUAUCACAGCUGAGUGAUAAGAUGACAAGAACUAUUUUGAAUGAUUAGAUUCUGCGCAAUAGGAGAAGUUUGUGCUUGGCCUGAGUGGAGCGAUAGACUGGAAAGAUCAAGCUGCAGGAUUAUCAUCAACAGACACUAUUGGCUGACGUUGACAAAAAACAUUUGCUGCAUAUAAUCAAUCUCAAUCAAUCCCAAUACAAACCUGUCAAAAUUUUGGAAGGUAAUAAAUGAAAAUGAUUAAAAAAAAAUCCUCCUUAUCUAUUCCUUCUCAUGUUAUGUUUAAUGAUUACAUAAGACCUGAGAGAAUUGCAAUGUUCUCAACAGUAAUCUGUUUGAUAUGGUGGAUCUGCUCUUAAGCCUUUGGCUCAUGUGCCCUGCUUACAGUGUAUUUCUCAGCUCACCCUCCAGGUCUUCACUUGCUUCAUUGUUGAGGAGGCACUUUAAGCUACAGUUUGCAGGGAAGCAACUGGGAGGAUAGACCAGUAGUUUUUUUGAAAGCUCUCUGCUCCAUCUUUUGCUGAACAAUUGCAUAUCUCUGUAAUUUUUUGAGUUCUGGAACACUUAUCCCUCUGGCCUGGAAAUCUGCACACGUAGUCCAACUGCAUAAAGGUUGUGGGGAAACAGAUCUUAACAGCCAAUUACCAAACCAUCCCCUCUUGCUCAAGUCCUGCAGUCAUUAAUUCAUAAUCAGCUGAAAAUCAUUCCUCUCAAAUUCUACAGCUCUGUAAAGCUUUGCUAACAAUGGACAAUCAGCCAUUGAAAUCAAGCCUUGGACAAAUUGCAAGAUGCACUGCGAGAUAUGAACCUAGCCAGUGAAUGCCAACACAACUUAACAUCUGCUUUUCUCUGGAGUGUAACAUACUGUUGACAAUGGUUUGUAUUUACCUCUCUAAAUGGACAUAGUAUACUGUAAAAGUCUAAAUUCAAUUGCUGCCUUAAAUAUUUAAGUUAAUCUCAUUUAGACUGAAUAGAAAAUUGAUUUUUUUUUCAUUUCUACACAAUUUCAAGUUAACUGAACUUGAUAAUACAUCUUCAGUUAGCUUACAAUAUUAAGUUAAAUCAAUGACAAUGGCAAUUAUUACAAUUAGAUUGAGGAGUCCAUUCAUCAUUUCAUAAUUUGCACAAAAACAUUAUGUAAACCAAUUCACAGUUAUUUUAUAAAAAAUGUAAAAGUUUGUUAAAAUAAAGAUUGAAUUCAGUACUAACCA